UACGGAGGGUGCGAGCGUUGUCCGGAAUCACUGGGCGUAAAGGGCGCGUAGGUGGCUCAGGAAGUCAACGGUGAAAGUUCGGGGCUCAACCCUGAAUCGGCCGUCGAUACUCCUGGGCUCGAGCACUGUAGAGGCAGAUGGAAUUCCGGGUGUAGCGGUGGAAUGCGUAGAGAUCCGGAAGAACACCGGUGGCGAAGGCGGUCUGCUGGGCAGUUGCUGACACUGAGAGACGAAAGCUAGGGGAGCGAAUGGG
rnacentral:rRNA from 1 species